GAUGAACGCUGGCGGCGUGCCUAAUACAUGCAAGUCGAGCGAACAGACGAGGAGCUUGCUCCUCUGACGUUAGCGGCGGACGGGUGAGUAACACGUGGAUAACCUACCUAUAAGACUGGGAUAACUUCGGGAAACCGGAGCUAAUACCGGAUAAUAUAUUGAACCGCAUGGUUCAAUAGUGAAAGACGGUUUUGCUGUCACUUAUAGAUGGAUCCGCGCCGCAUUAGCUAGUUGGUAAGGUAACGGCUUACCAAGGCAACGAUGCGUAGCCGACCUGAGAGGGUGAUCGGCCACACUGGAACUGAGACACGGUCCAGACUCCUACGGGAGGCAGCAGAAGGGAAUCUUCCGCAAUGGGCGAAAGCCUGACGGAGCAACGCCGCGUGAGUGAUGAAGGUCUUCGGAUCGUAAAACUCUGUUAUUAGGGAAGAACAAAUGUGUAAGUAACUAUGCACGUCUUGACGGUACCUAAUCAGAAAGCCACGGCUAACUACGUG
rnacentral:rRNA from 1 species